GUGAUAUGGGUUCGGCCGCUCGGUCGGUUGGAAACAGUAUUGGUCUGUUUGACCGACAUAUUUUUGAUCGGAUAUUGUCGACGGUCAUUGUCGGAGUCAUCUAUCCGUCCGAUGGGUAGAGUCGGACGUCGAUAGGAUGUCCGAGAAUAAGUCGGCGUAUAAGUGUCAGUCGGUAUAUCCCAAUAAGAUCAAUGACAGGUGGCAAGAAGGA
rnacentral:lncRNA from 1 species